rnacentral:rRNA from 1 species
UACGGAGGAUGCAAGCGUUAUCCGGAAUGAUUGGGCGUAAAGCGUCCGCAGGUGGCUAUGUAAGUCUGCUGUUAAAGAGUGAGGCUCAACCUCAUAAGAGCAGUGGAAACUACAUGGCUAGAGUGCGUUCGGGGCAGAGGGAAUUCCUGGUGUAGCGGUGAAAUGCGUAGAGAUCAGGAAGAACACCGGUGGCGAAAGCGCUCUGCUAGGCCGCAACUGACACUGAGGGACGAAAGCUGGGGGAGCGAACGGG